CCUACGGGAGGCAGCAGUAGGGAAUUUUGCGCAAUGGACGAAAGCCUGACGCAGCAACGCCGCGUGCUUGAUUAAGCCCUUCGGGGUGUAAAGAUCUGUCAGUGGGGACGAAACUUGACGGUACCCACAGAGGAAGCACCGGCUAACUCCGUGCCAGCAGCCGCGGUAAUACGGAGGGUGCAAGCGUUGUCCGGAAUCAUGGGGCGUAAAGAGUUCGUAGGUGGUAUAGUAAGUCUGGGGUUAAAUGCAGAAGCUUAACUUCUGUUCGGCACUGGAUACUGGUAAGCUGGAAUGCGGGAGUGGCAAAGGGAAUUACUGGUGUAGCGGUGAAAUGCGUAGAUAUCA
rnacentral:rRNA from 1 species